GCGGCGAUGGUCUAGUGGUAUCCUGUCCAACGAAAGUUGGAUGGCGCCAAAUUGAUUCCAGCCUUCCAAGUUGGUAGCCCGGGUUCGAUUCCCGGUCGCCGCA
rnacentral:tRNA from 1 species